rnacentral:rRNA from 1 species
AUUGAACGCUGGCGGCAGGCCUAACACAUGCAAGUCGAACGAGUGGCGGACUGGUGAGUAAUGUCUGGGAAACUGCCUGAUGGAGGGGGAUAACUACUGUAAACGGUAGCUAAUACCGCAUACCAUCAGAUGUGCCCAGGUGGGAUUAGCUGGGUGGUGGGUGAACGGCUCACCAAGGCGACGAUCCCUAGCUGGUCUGAGAGGAUGACCAGCCACACUGGAACUGAGACACGGUCCAGACGCCUACGGGAGGCAGCAGUGGGGAAUAUUGGACAAUGGGCGCAAGUCUGAUGCAGCCAUGCCGCGUGGAUGAAGAAGGUCUUCGGGUUGUAAAGUACUGUCAGCGGGGAGGCGUUACCCGCAGAAGAAGCACCGGCUAACUCCGUGCCAGCAGCCGCGGUAAUAC